CUUUCAGCAGGCCCGUUGGAACAACGCUGAGCCUCUCUAGAGAGCCGUAGAGCUAGUACACAUUGUUUAGCCCGAACCUGACCUCAGCACUGUAAACAACCUGCAGAGAUCGAUAGAGAGGCAGUGAAGGGUAGAGAGAGAGGGACAGACUCAAGGGAAAGGAGAGAGAGAAACAGAGACUGAAGCCAAAGGAGAAAAAAGAGAAGGGUUAAAAUAAAGAGAGAGCCGGUAGAUAAGGGACAGGGGGCGAGGGAAGGGAGAGGAAAGAAGAGAGAUAUAACAGAAAGAGGGCUGGAGUGUAGGGAAGGGAAAGAGAGGGUGGGACGGAGAGAGGAAGACAUAGCAGGAAGGGGAGCGUGGGUGGGUGGGUGGAGGAAGGGGAGCAGACAUCAUAUCUCUUCAGCCCCUCGGUGACCAGACGGUGGGAAGAUGAGUUUGUCCCGUUAGGAAGCGGCGGAAAGUAAUUGUGACAAACCUUUAUGGUGCUGCUCUAGAGCUAACUGAGGAUCUACGAUACACUUAAGAGAACCGCUUACUUUUCCCUCGCUUGUAGCGUUCUACUUUUAUCGUGGUAAAGUUACAUCAAUACAACGAAAGGUGUAAAGCAUGGAGGACAUGGACUUCGAGAGGCGCCGGGAGCUCAGACGGCAGAAGCGUGAGGAGAUGCGCCUGGAAGCUGAACGAUAGGGCCUGUCUGUCUGUCUGUCUGUCUGUCUGUCUGUCUGUCUGUCUGUCUGUCUGUCUGUCUGUCUGUCUGUCUGUCUCUGUCUGUCUGUCUGUC
ensembl:lncRNA